CCUACGGGGGGCUGCAGUCGAGAAUCUUCGGCAAUGGGCGCAAGCCUGACCGAGCGACGCCGCGUGGAGGACGAAGGCCUUCGGGUUGUAAACUCCUGUCGAGGGGGAACAAGGUGCCGUGCAGAACGGUGCUUGAGUGAUCCCUGGAGGAAGCACGGGCUAAGUUCGUGCCAGCAGCCGCGGUAAGACGAACCGUGCGAACGUUAUUCGGAAUCACUGGGCUUAAAGCGCGUGCAGGCGGGUCGGCACGUCCGCGCCUGAAAUCCCCCGGCUCAACCGGGGAAGUGGGCCGGAUACGGCCGUCCUGGAGGGACGUAGGGGGGCCUGGAACUCACGGUGGAGCGGUGAAAUGCGUUGAGAUCGUGAGGAACGCCCGCGGCGAAAGCGAGGCCCUGGACGUCAUCUGACGCUGAGACGCGAAAGCCAGGGGAGCGAACGGGAUUAGAUACCCCAGUAGUC
rnacentral:rRNA from 1 species